AAUAUUAACAACAUGGAUGCAUGGACUGUUCUUUUCGAGAAUUUUUUAAAAUAAUUUAUGAAGUAAAUUACUGAGAGUAGAAUAACGUUUUCGAUGUAUUUUUAGAGAUUUUAAAAUGGAAUGACAUAGAUAAAUGAUAUGGACAUAUUCAAUUCGAGGAAGUGGAAUUUGUGAUAAUUUCUCCAAGGAAACGGUGUCUCCACAAAUUUAACGAAUAUGGUAGCUAAUAUGGAGAGAAAAGAAUCAGCAAUAAGCAGACUGACGGAGAAAAGCAUUUCUUCGGCCGGACAGCUGUUGCCGAACAAAGGCCGAAGGA